rnacentral:lncRNA from 1 species
AGAUGCAUGUUGUUCUCUUUUGUUCCAUCAUCUGUUCAGUUGAGAGGAAAAAAGAUCAUUCAGAAAAGCAAGGAAUGCAUCUUAAUCAGCGUCAGCAGGCACCCUGAGUUGGUGGUGUUGGCGAUAUGUUCCUGUUGAUGAUAUUUCUUCUCAUUGGGAGGUGGGUGUGAUCGAGCAACCCUCUUUGGCUCAUGACCUGCAAUACUCCAUUUGCUGGCUGCCAGGAUGUACAAACAUGCAUUGCUUUCACAUUGAUGUGAGUGAAUAAUGGAGCAAGCAGUGAUCAAGACUCGACUGUUUGCUGUGCCCAUUCCUUGAGACUUCAGCCUUUUAUAGAGGGAGGAGAGGAGGAUAACUUGGCUGCUGCAGCAGUUCAUCUCGAACCGAUGACAAGAGAAGAGACUGCAAGGAUUUUAUCUGGAAUCCAUCAGUCAAAGUUCGUACAUGGUGACAAAACAAAAGAUGGUUGGAGUUGGGAGGUUUGAGCAGUUUCUCUUCACCUGCUAAAAGCUUUGCAUGUUGGAUGAAGAGGAUUAAAAGAGAAUACUGGAAAAGAAGUUCUCCAGACUGCUGCAGUAGAUCUGUCCUCUUGAUUUCCUCCUUUUUUAGCAGUAGUUUAGGAGCAUCUUUUGCUUCUCAGUGUCUUUAUCUUAUAGUCAUUAUCGUUACCAUUCUUGCACUCAUCCCUUCCAUUAUUACUUGCUUGCUGAGUGGCGAUCUAUUUUUUCACACAUGCUCAUGGAACCCUACUCACCAUCCCAUCUCUCUCUUGCCUUGGUUCUCUCUUUCCUAACCUGGCGGU